rnacentral:sRNA from 1 species
UCUCCGUUGUCAGCAGUACCCAAUUCAGUGAGGGCUUGCUUCACGGCGUUGUAGUAAUCCACCCCGUUAGCGGACAGCGAAGAGUUCCCUAACUUCAUGUUGAAGUGGAGGGGAUUG